rnacentral:rRNA from 1 species
AAACUCAAAGGAAUUGACGGGGGCCCGCACAAGCGGUGGAGCAUGUGGUUUAAUUCGAAGCAACGCGAAGAACCUUACCAGGUCUUGACAUCCUCUGACAACCCUAGAGAUAGGGCUUCUCCUUCGGGAGCAGAGUGACAGGUGGUGCAUGGUUGUCGUCAGCUCGUGUCGUGAGAUGUUGGGUUAAGUCCCGCAACGAGCGCAACCCUUGAUCUUAGUUGCCAUCAUUAAGUUGGGCACUCUAAGGUGACUGCCGGUGACAAACCGGAGGAAGGUGGGGAUGACGUCAAAUCAUCAUGCCCCUUAUGACCUGGGCUACACACGUGCUACAAUGGACGGUACAAAGAGCUGCAAGACCGCGAGGUGGAGCUAAUCUCAUAAAACCGUUCUCAGUUCGGAUUGUAGGCUGCAACUCGCCUACAUGAAGCUGGAAUCGCUAGUAAUCGCCGAAUCAGCAUGCCGCGGUGAAUACGUCCCCGGGACCUGGUACACACCGCCCCGU